rnacentral:rRNA from 1 species
UCGGGAAUAAUUCGCAAUGGGCGCAAGCCUGACGAUGCGACGCCGCGUGAGUGAUGAAGGUCCUCUGGAUUGUAAAACUCUUUCGCUUGGGAAUAAGAGAGGAAAGCUAAUAUCUUUCUGAUUUGAAGGUACCAGGUAAAGAAGCACCGGCUAACUCUGUGCCAGCAGCUGCGGUAAUACAGAGGGUGCAAGCGUUAAUCGGAUUUAUUGGGCGUAUAGGGCGUGCAGGUGGUCGUGAAAGUCAGAUGUGAAAUCUUGGGGCUCAUCCCCAAAACAGCAUUUGAAACUCCACGACUUGAGGCUAGUCGGAGAAAACGGAAUUCCAUGUGUAGCGGUGAAAUGCGUAGAUAUAUGGAAGAACACCUGUGGCGAAAGCGGUUUUCUAGGUUAGACCUGACAC